rnacentral:rRNA from 1 species
AUUGAACGCUGGCGGCAGGCUUAACACAUGCACGUCGAGCGAGCGGCGGACGGGUGAGUAAUGUCUGGGAACAUGCCUGAUGGAGGGGGAUAACUACUGGAAACGGUAGCUAAUACCGCAUACCAUCAGAUGUGCCCAGAUGGGAUUAGCUCUUAGGUGGGGUAAUGGCUCCCCUAGGCGACGAUCCCUAGCUGGUCUGAGAGGAGGACCAGCCACACUGGAACUGAGUCACGGGCCAGACUACUACGGGAGUGAGCAGUGGGGAAUAUGGCACAAUGGGCGCAAGCCUGAUGGAGCCAUGCCGAGGGUGUGAAGAAGGCCUUCGGGUUGUAAAGCACUUGCAGCGAGGAGGCGUUACUCGCAGAAGAAGCACCGGCUAACUCCGUGCCAGCAGCCGCGGUAAUAC